CCUACGGGAGUCUGCAGUGAGGAAUAUUGGUCAAUGGGCGGGAGCCUGAACCAGCCAAGUCGCGUGAGGGAAGACGGUCCUAUGGAUUGUAAACCUCUUUAGGCGGGGAGCAAUGCCGGGCACGCGUGCCCGGAGGGAGAGUACCCGCAGAAUAAGCAUCGGCUAACUCCGUGCCAGCAGCCGCGGUAAUACGGAGGAUGCGAGCGUUAUCCGGAUUUAUGGGGUUUAAAGGGUGCGUAGUCGGAUUUUUAAGUCAGCGGUAAAAUGUCCGGGCUCAACCCGGGCCGGCCGUUGAAACUGGGGAUCUUGAGUGGGCGAGAAGUAUGCGGAAUGCGUGGUGUAGCGGUGAAAUGCAUAGAUAUCACGCAGAACUCCGAUUGCGAAGGCAGCAUACCGGCGCCCGACUGACGCUGAGGCACGAAAGCGUGGGGAUCGAACAGGAUUAGAUACCCUUGUAGUC
rnacentral:rRNA from 1 species